AAUAUUGCACAAUGUGCGCAAGCCUGAUGCAGCAACGCCGCGUGAGGUAUGACGGCCUUCGGGUUGUAAACCUCUUUUAGUAGGGAAGAAGGCUUCGGUUGACGGUACCUGCAGAAAAAGCACCGGCUAACUACGUGCCAGCAGCCGCGGUAAUACGUAGGGUGCAAGCGUUGUCCGGAAUUAUUGGGCGUAAAGAGCUCGUAGGCGGCUUGUCGCGUCUGCCGUGAAAACCUCAGGCUCAACCUGGGGCGUGCGGUGGGUACGGGCAAGCUAGAGUGCGGUAGGGGAGAUUGGAAUUCCUGGUGUAGCGGUGGAAUGCGCAGAUAUCAGGAGGAACACCGAUGGCGAAGGCAGAUCUCUGGGCCGCUACUGACGCUGAGGAGCGAAAGCAUGGGGAGCGAACAG
rnacentral:rRNA from 1 species